rnacentral:misc_RNA from 1 species
AAUUGGCCUCAUACCAAUUGGAGUGAUAGAAUUACAAUUUUGGUCCCUGAAGUGGACCUAGGUUUGGUUGUCUAGAAUUGACUCUCACCAAUCCGAAUUUGAUUUUAAUUCUCAUCACUCCAACACACUCCAUUUAGCCCCAAUUGACUAUUUCAAGUCUCAAUUAGGUCCCAUUGCAUCAAUUACCAAUUUUCUCCAAAUUUUUCCCUAAUUUCAAUGCUUCAAGAACCCUAAUUUCACUACUUGAUUUAAUUGGUGCAAUUAAAGUGUAUAUUCAUCUUCUACACACUAAAUCAAGCUUACUUUUCCCCAUUUUAAUUUCAUCAAAAUCGUGCAAGCCCUAACUCAUGUCAUGUUGGCCGAAAAUUUCCCCAAGUCUCUUAUGUAUGAUUUUGUUUAAUUUUUUACACAAUUUCUAGUUUAACUCAUGCACAUGAGCAUAAAUCUAAAGAGAGAUUUAAGAGAAUAAUCACUAACCUCUUGGUAGCUUUUCCCUCCUCCAAUUUCUACUUCUUUUUUGAAUUUUUCUUCCUUUAGUCCUCUUGCCAAAGCUUGAUCAUAAGUUUUAAUUAAGAAAUUUAGGGGAUUUAUGGGUUAAAUUUGGGGGUUACUCAAGUUCAAAAUUGAGCUUUAAUGGAGGU